rnacentral:rRNA from 1 species
AGGACGAACGCUGGCGGCGUGCUUAACACAUGCAAGUCGAGCGGUGAUCCUCCUUCGGGAGGUGAUCAGCGGCGAACGGGUGAGUAACACGUGGGCAACCUGCCCCUCACACUGGGAUAACCUCGGGAAACCGGGGCUAAUACCGGAUACGACCUCGAGCGGCAUCUCUUGAGGUGGAAAGCUCCGACGGUGAGGGAUGGGCCCGCGGCCUAUCAGCUUGUUGGUGGGGUAAUGGCCUACCAAGGCGACGACGGGUAGCCGGCCUGAGAGGGCGACCGGCCACACUGGGACUGAGACACGGCCCAGACUCCUACGGGAGGCAGCAGUGGGGAAUAUUGCGCAAUGGGCGAAAGCCUGACGCAGCGACGCCGCGUGAGGGAUGAAGGCCUUCGGGUUGUAAACCUCUUCAGCAGGGACGAAGCGAAAGUGACGGUACCUGCAGAAGAGCACCGGCUAACUACGCGCCAGCAGCCGCGGUAA